rnacentral:tRNA from 1 species
GCCAUCAUGGUGUAGCGGUCAGCGCACUUGGUUCUUAUUCGAGAGGUCCAUGGUUCGAGUCCCGGCGAGGGCA